UACGUAGGGUGCAAGCGUUGUCCGGAAUUAUUGGGCGUAAAGAGCUCGUAGGCGGUCUGUUACGUCUGCUGUGAAAACCCGGGGCUUAACCCUGGGCUUGCAGUGGAUACGGGCAGACUUGAGUUCGGCAGGGGAGACUGGAAUUCCUGGUGUAGCGGUGAAAUGCGCAGAUAUCAGGAGGAACACCGGUGGCGAAGGCGGGUCUCUGGGCCGAUACUGACGCUGAGGAGCGAAAGCGUGGGGAGCGAACAGG
rnacentral:rRNA from 1 species